GACGAACGCUGGCGGCGUGCUUAACACAUGCAAGUCGAACGGUAAGGCCCUUCGGGGUACACGAGUGGCGAACGGGUGAGUAACACGUGGGUGAUCUGCCCUGCACUUCGGGAUAAGCCUGGGAAACUGGGUCUAAUACCGGAUAGGACCACUGCCUGCAUGGGUGGUGGUGGAAAGCUUUUGCGGUGUGGGAUGGGCCCGCGGGCUAUCAGCUUGUGGGUGGGGUGAUGGCCUACCAAGGCGACGACGGGUAGCCGGCCUGAGAGGGUGACCGGCCACACUGGGACUGAGAUACGGCCCAGACUCCUACGGGAGGCAGCAGUGGGGAAUAUUGCACAAUGGGCGGAAGCCUGAUGCAGCGACGCCGCGUGAGGGAUGACGGCCUGCGGGUGGUAAACCUCUUUCAGCACCGACGAAGCGCAAGUGACGGUAGGUGCAGAAGAAGGACCGGCCAACUACGUGCCAGCAGCCGCAGUAA
rnacentral:rRNA from 1 species